UGGCAGUUUUGCGAAGCCCGAUAUUGAAAAUGGCAAAUAGCCGAUUUUCUCGUUUUUUAACAGCCCUGAAAUCUCCAUCUCCUUGUCCAAAUCGAGCUCCCCUCCCCCACGAUCUGCUCGCCGCCGCCGCCACCCCACGAAUCCGCACACACACUCCACAUUCUUCACCGAUUCCCACCGCCGCCGUGCCGCUCUCCUCUAACCCAACCACGCCGGCGGUGGCCCCCUCCUCCCCCAAGCAUUGGCGGUCUCCUCAUCCUCCAGCGCCGCGCUGCAACCUUCUCCUCCUCUCCCAAGUGAAGGGAAAGAGGAAGGCCCCAGAUCGGGCGAGACCAGAUCCACGGCGGCAUCGGCGCGCCAUCGUCGACCUGGGGUGCGACCACCAUGGUCGCCGUCGUCGUCUCCUCCAUGGAGGUCCGACCCGGCAGUAGGAAGGACUGGAUCCCGCCCGCCAGGAUCAAGCCGCGGCCUGAGCUUGCCAUGGGGAAUCCGCGCUGAUUGCAGCGUGUAGGCAGGCACUAUAGGAAGAGGAAGAGGGAGGGGGACGGGGGAGGGCAGCGCCCGCGAGCCGCAUGGAGCAGAAUGGCGGCUCCUUCCUCGCCCCGCGCCACCUCCCCGGCCACCACCACCUGCGUCUCCGUGCAGAUGAGGGACAGCGACACGCACAUUUCCUUCGAUCUGACCCCGAUUCAGGUGAACAGUGCUCGGUAUUUGUUGAUGUAGUAAUCACACGAUUGCUUUUCAAACAUGAAUGCAAAGGAUAACUGAAAUCAUGGCGAGUGCAACUGUCGUGUUUCAUUAUAUUAUACUUGUGCUUAGAUUACGACAUGAUAUAUCCAUCCCUGGAUGAAUUGUUUCUGACUAAUACGAUGGUCCAACAAAUACUGGUCUCUGGAAUUGGCUGUGCUCAUAUAAGGCUGGCCAGUGUUGUCUGACGUUGUAUAGUGUGGUAUCUAACAAAAUGGCUGUGCUCAUGUUUGCUUUAAUAGAACAGAGUAAUAUGAUGUCCCCGGGGUAUGAGGAUUUGCUGGACGUGUGUAACUCAGUAAAUCAGUAAGUUGGACUCACCGUGCCUGUAGAAGUAGGGACGUGAUAUUUGGCAUGAAUAAAUUGCCCAAAUGACCUACAGUGCAUCAGCACAUGCUUGCUUAUAGUCUGUUUUCUAUUACUAUUAAUAGUUUAUAUUGAUCUAGCAAACCUGAACAUACAUUUCGAUGCUACAUUUGAUAACCCAUAACCCAUUCAUCACACCUUUUAUUCAUUAGGAAGCACUCAAAGCCCUUUGGCAUGCUUCUUUUCCUGGGACUAAACUUCUAGGACUAGUAUCAGAUCAAUGGAACGAGAUGGGAUGGCAAGGAAAUCCUACGAGCAGCUCCUUUGUAAGCAAAAUGGUGACAGAGCAUUGUGGGAAUAUCCAUUUGCUGUAGCUGGAGUAAAUAUUACAUUUAUGCUCAUUCAGAUGCUUGAUCUUCAAACAGCUGCUGCAAUGGUGCUGCGGAAACUCUUCUAUACCAUCGCCACCGGCCGCUGCCCCACAGCCACCGGACGGUCCACGGGCAUAGGCUAGCACGGCGAGUCAGCAAACACAUGACCCCGGCGGCGGAGCGACUACCCAGGGUAGUGUAGGCAAAUAACUUCUUUCUCUGAAUUUGAUCCUCUUUUGCAACGGAUAAAAAAUAAUCUAAAGGUGCAGCUGUAUUAGUUUGGUCUAGCUUCUUUUUUUACAUCGGCUUACUUGAUAUUCUAACAAACGAGAACAAAAGGCACUGAUUAAUGCUAAUGAUUUAGUAACUACAAAUUUCUGUGUUUUUCUUUGCCUUGCCCCGCCCAGCAAUGUAUUUGCAUUACCCAUGUCAAGUCCAAAACUUCAACCUGGACAGGCAAAUUUCGCCACAAAGAAACCAUUUGAAUCUGACUCACUGUCAGUUGACUAAAAUUUACAUGCACUACUGGAAUUUUCCUCUUUGCCGAGUGUUAGGCUCUUUGCCGAGUGCAUUAUGUCGGGCACUCGGCAAUAGUAUCUUUGCCGAGUCCCAAGCAGAAAGUACUCGGCAAAAUAGCGAAACUCGGCAAACAGGUACUUUGCCGAGUGUCGUGGACAAAACACUCGGUAAAACAAUAAAACACGGCAAACAAGGUCUUUACCGAGUGCUACACUCGGCAAAAGGGGGUCUUUACCGAGUGCUACACUCGGCAAAAGUGGGUCUUCACUACGCUGCACGGUUUUAACUGUACAGGUUGCAUACGACCUCGGAUGAAGAUGUUCCAAAAAUCAAAGUUGUUCAUUUUGACGAGACCUAAAUUUUUCAUGUUGAGAACUUUUUCAUUUGAGGUCAUAUUAAUUACACUUUUUGCCAUGUAAAUGUUUGGUCUCAAAUGACCAAUGUGAUGGCCAUAUUUAUUGGAUAGUUUAUGAUAAUGUGGUGAAGUUGGCCAUAUAGGUGCAUCUUGCCAUUACAAACAGUGUUGCCAAUAAAGUUUCCAACUUUUUUUUACAAAAGAACCAUUUUCGAUUUUCUAAGAAUAAGAAAUGAGUAUUUUUUGUGAAGUAAGUACAAAAAUAGUGUGCAAAAUGGCACUAGUCCAAUUGUCACAGUAAGUAGACCAUAUUUUAUGCACAAUUCGUUCACAAAACGGGCUAUCGUGUAUGAACAGUUAUGGUUUCAAGUCAAAUGACCAAGGUAAUGGCCAUAUUCAUUGCAUAAUCUUUUAUAAUAUGCCCAAAUUAGACACAUAGGUGACUAUUGACAUUACAAACAAUGUUGCCAAAUAGAGUUUCCAACUUUUUUGUACAAAAAAAAUCCUUUUUCAUUUUCUAAGUGUCAAAAUUGGGCAUUUUUUGUAAAGUAGGUACAAAAAAUAGGGUCCAAAAUGGCACCACUCAAAUUAUUGCAGUAAGUAGACCAUAUUUUAUGCACAAUUCACAAGUUUCAUGGAUUUUCUAGUUUUCUAGCUACUUUCGCACAUUUAAAUGACUAAUGUCAAUUUCCCGAAAGUAAGUCAAAAUUGAACUGCAAGUGUGUGAUAGCUCAGUCAUAAAAAUUGGCAAAAAAUAUUUUUAAGUACACAAGUAGUCAUUAUAUGGGAGAACCACUUAGAGUUUGAGAGUUUCGACCCCUUGUGAUGAAUAGCCAUGUCGACUAUUUUGACCCCGUUUUGGAAAAAAAUGAAAGAAAAAGAAUACAAGUUUAAAAAAUGCAAUCCUUUCGCAUGGAGUCUUUUUAUGUGUACUAGUUACGAGGAAAAAUGCCAAACUUUCAAUAUAACAAAUUUGAAAAAAGAAUCCUUCACAAAACGGACUACCGUGUAUGAACAUUCGUGGUUUUCAAGUCAAAGGACCAAGGUGAUGGCCAUAUUCAUUGCAUAGUCUAUUCUAAUGUUCCCAAAUUAGACACAUAGGCGCAUCUGACAUUACAAUCAAUGUUGCCAAAUAGAUUUUUCAACUUUUUUUACAAAAGAAUAAAUUUUCAUUUUCUAAGUGUAAAAAAUCCGUGUUUUUUGUGAAGCAAGUACAAAAAACAGGGUGCAAAAUUGCACCACUCCAAUUAUCACAGUAAGUAGACCAUACUUUAUGCACAAUUCCCAAGUUUCAUGAAUUUUCUAGUUUUCUAGCUACUUUCACACAUUUAAACGACUUUAUGUUGAUUUCCCGAAAGUAAUUCAAGUUUGAACCACAAGUGUGCGAUAGCUAUGUCCUAAAAAUUUUAAAAAAUAUUUUUAGGUACACAAGUAGUCAUUAUAUGUAAGAACCAGUUAGAGUUUUGAGAGAUUCAACACCUUUCCAUGAAUAGUCAUGCCGACCAUUUUGACCCCGUUUUGGAGAAAAUAAAAGAAAAAGAAUAGAAGUUCAAAAAAUGCAAUAAUUUCCCAUGGAGUCAUUUUAUGUGUACUAGUAACGAGGAAAAAUUUCAAACUUGCAAUAUGACAAUGUUGAAAAAAAAUCUUCACAAAUCGGCAUAGCAAGUAUAAACAUUUAUGACUUUCAAGCCAAGUGACUAUGGCGAAGGCCAUAUUCAUUGCAAAAUUUGUGAUAAUGUGUUGAAAAUUGGCACAUAGGUACAUCUCGCCAAUAAAAACAAUGUUGCCAAAUAGAUUUUAGAAUUUGUUGUACAAAAAAAUAAUUUUUUUCAUUUUCUAUGUGUCAAAAACUAGAUUUUUUAUUUGCAAAAAGGCAAAUGAAGUAAGAAAAUUGUUUUAUUCUAAGUUUCAAAUUUUUCGUGGCAACUAUUACAUGUGAAAGGACUCAGUGUCAAAGGAUUUGAUUUUUUGAAAUUUUAUUCAUUUUCUUCUUUAA